rnacentral:rRNA from 1 species
ACUACAAUGCCCAGCACAAUGAGAACCGAUACCGCGAGGUGGAGGAAAUCUGCAAAACUGGGCUCAGUUCGGAUUGGAGGCUGCAACUCGCCUCCAUGAAGUUGGAAUCGCUAGUAAUGGCGCAUCAUCUACGGCGCCGUGAAUACGUUCCCGGGUCUUGUACACACCGCCCGUCACAUCAUGGAAGCCGGUCGCACCCGAAGUGCCUGCAUCAACCCGCAAGGGGGAUAGGGUCCUAAGGUGUAGCUGGUAACUGGGAUGAAGUCGUAACAAGGUAGCCGUAGGGGAACCUGCGGCUGGAUCACCUCCUUUCUACGGAGA